AUGGCCGGCGGCGAAGAGACGGCGGCCGCGGCGGAGGCGGAGAUGGAUCUGGAGUUCUCGCGCGGCGCGGAUGUGCCCAGCUUCGAGUUCGCCUUCAAUUCGGAGAAGUUCUCCGACAAGGUGCUGCAGGUAGAGGUCGUCGCCGGCGACGACGGAGGAGGAGGACCCCUCCCUGACUCAGUGCGCCACAUUAAGGGGCAAGCCAUGUCAGGUACACAAAUUUUAACAGUAAAGGCCCUUCAUAUCAAUUCAGCGAUUCUUGCUGCAAGAAGUCCUUUCUUUCUAAAGCUCUUCUCAAAUGGCAUGAAAGAAUCUGAUCAGAUGCGUCCAAGAAUUAGGAUUGCCAAUUCAGAGCAAAUUGCCCUUAUGGAGGUUUUAAGCUAUAUGUACAGUGGAAAAUUGACAACAGCUGAGCCCACUCUUCUGCUCGACAUCUUGAUGGUUGCGGACAAGUUUGAGGUUAUUUCUUGCAUGAGGCGUUGUAGUCAGCUGCUCACAAACUUGCCUAUGACAACAGAAUCUGCACUGCUCUGCAUAGACCAUCCUUGCUCGACUUCAUUGGCCGCUGAGGUCCAACAUGUUAUAAGCGUUGCAAAGGAAUUCCUUGCCGACAAGUACAAGGAUUUUGAUAAGUUCAGACGUGAACUGGUGAAUAUUUCUCUUGCUGGGAUGGAAGCUAUCUUUUCAAGUACUGACAUGCAUGUGAGCUGUGAAGAUGACUUAUAUUACUUCAUGCUUGAGUGGGUCCGUGCAAGAUACCUAGAUUCAGAGGAAAGACGUGGGAUCUUGAGUUCUCGUUUGCUGCCGCUAGUUCGCUUCAGUCAUAUGACAUGUACGACACUUGAGAAGAUCCUAGCAUGCACUGAUAAUGAUAUAGACCAUGAGCAAGUAACUAAGCGUAUUACCGAGGUGCUUCUACACAAAGCUUACCCAAGACAGAUGGAAAAUGCUCUUAGUACACAAACCGGUUGGCAAUUUGCUGAGCGUGCUUACAAGUACAAACCUGUGAAAUUGGUUGCUUUUGAUCGACCCUGCCCACAGGUUACAGUUUACUUGGAUCUAACGCGUGAGGAGUGCUCUCGACUCUUCCGGUCUGAACAUAUAUGCUCGCACCCGUUCCAGCUUGGAGGGCGGGACUUUUAUCUUGUCGCAUUCUGUGAAAUGGAUGAGCAGAGUAAUUUGUGCACUUUUGGCCUCUGCUUAGUAGAAUGGAAGAAUAUGAAGGGUUCAUCAGAUUUGACCAUCGAUAUUGAGUUUGCUGCAAGGACUAGAUUGUCAGGAAAAUUCGUAAGCAACUUGGAGGUUAAGGUUAUCUUCAGUUUGUCAGAUUGGGUACAUGGAUCCGUGGAUCUUUUUGGCGUUCCAUGGUCGACGUUCAUAUCUGACGACAACCUCUUCAUCAACGGGGUGCUGCAUCUGAGAGCUGAUUUGAGGUUGGCCGUUGGGCAGAUGGGUUUACAAUCUUGA
rnacentral:rRNA from 1 species